CACUGGUGUAGCUCAGUAAAUAAUGAAGCGUGAUGCCGGUCAAGCUUUCAAGCAGGCUUCUCAAGCAGCCCUUGCAAACCCACGCACCAGCCCCUGGCACAGUGUUGGUCUGGAGGUGACAGAGAGGGCUGAGGGCCAUGCUGGGCUGGGAACAAUCCAUGGAGCAGGACAGCCCUCACCUCAUCCUGGAG
rnacentral:lncRNA from 12 species